UAGGGAAUCUUCCACAAUGGACGCAAGUCUGAUGGAGCAACGCCGCGUGAGUGAAGAAGGCUUUCGGGUCGUAAAACCCUGUUGUUGGAGAAGAAUGGUCGGCAGAGUAACUGUUGUCGGCGUGACGGUAUCCAACCAGAAAGCCACGGCUAACUACGUGCCAGCAGCCGCGGUAAUACGUAGGUGGCAAGCGUUAUCCGGAUUUAUUGGGCGUAAAGCGAGCGCAGGCGGUUUUUUAAGUCUGAUGUGAAAGCCCUCGGCUUAACCGAGGAAGCGCAUCGGAAACUGGGAAACUUGAGUGCAGAAGAGGACAGUGGAACUCCAUGUGUAGCGGUGAAAUGCGUAGAUAUAUGGAAGAACACCAGUGGCGAAGGCGGCUGUCUGGUCUGUAACUGACGCUGAGGCUCGAAAGCAUGGGUAGCGAACAGGAUUAGAUACCCUGGUAGUCCAUGCCGUAAAACGAUGAAUGCUAGGUGUUGGAGGGUUUCCGCCCUUCAGUGCCGCAGCUAACGCAUUAAGCAUUCCGCCUGGGGAGUACGACCGCAAGGUUGAAAC
rnacentral:rRNA from 1 species